AAGAUUUUAAGUUAACCAAACUAUUAGCCUUCAAAGCUAUAAAUAUAAGUACAAUCUUUUAAAUCUUA
rnacentral:tRNA from 1 species